rnacentral:rRNA from 1 species
UACGUAGGGUGCAGGCGUUAAUCGGAAUUACUGGGCGUAAAGCGUGCGCAGGCGGUCUUUUAAGUCAGAUGUGAAAUCCCCGGGCUUAACCUGGGAACUGCGUUUGAAACUGGAAGGCUAGAGUGUGGCAGAGGGGGGUGGAAUUCCACGUGUAGCAGUGAAAUGCUUAGAGAUGUGGAGGAACACCGAUGGCGAAGGCAGCCCCCUGGGCUAACACUGACGCUCAUGCACGAAAGCGUGGGGAGCAAACAGG